AACGAACGCUGGCGGCAGGCCUAACACAUGCAAGUCGAACGCUGCAGCAAUGCAGAGUGGCAGACGGGUGAGUAACGCGUGGGAACCUUCCCAAUGGUGCGGAAUAGCUCAGGGAAACUUGAGGUAAUACCGCAUACGCCCGAAAGGGGAAAGAUUUAUCGCCAUUGGAUGGGCCCGCGUCGGAUUAGCUAGUUGGUGGGGUAACGGCUCACCAAGGCUACGAUCCGCAGCUGGUUUGAGAGAAUGACCAGCCACACUGGGACUGAGACACGGCCCAGACUCCUACGGGAGGCAGCAGUGGGGAAUAUUGGACAAUGGGCGUAAGCCUGAUCCAGCCAUGCCGCGUGAGUGACGAAGGCCUUAGGGUUGUAAAGCUCUUUUGGCGGGGACGAUAAUGACGGUACCCGCAGAAUAAGCCCCGGCUAACUUCGUGCCAGCAGCCGCGGUAACAC
rnacentral:rRNA from 1 species